GAUGAAGAACGCAGCGAAAUGCGAUAAGUAAUGUGAAUUGCAGAAUUUAGUGAAUCAUCGAAUCUUUGAACGCAUAUUGCGCCCGCCAGCACUCUGGCGGGCAUGCCUGUCUGAGCGUCAUUUCAACCCUCAUGCCCCUAGGGCGUGGUGUUGGGGAUCGGCCAAAGCCCGCGAGGGACGGCCGGCCCCUAAAUCUAGUGGCGGACCCGUCGUGGCCUCCUCUGCGAAGUAGUGAUAUUCCGCAUCGGAGAGCGACGAGCCCCUGCCGUUAAACCCCCAACUUUCCAAGGUUGACCUCAGAUCAGGUAGGAAUACCCGCUGAACUUAAGCAUAUCAAUAAGCGGAGGA
rnacentral:misc_RNA from 1 species